rnacentral:rRNA from 1 species
CAGCCGUAAACUAUGCUCGCUAGGUGUCAGGCAUGGCGCGACCGUGUCUGGUGCCGCAGGGAAGCCGUGAAGCGAGCCACCUGGGAAGUACGGCCGCAAGGCUGAACUUAAGGAUUGGCGGGGAGCACAACAACGGGUGGAGCCUGCGGUUUAAUGGACUCAACGCCGGACAACUCACCGGGAACGACAGCAAUAUGUAGGCCAGGCUGAAGACCUUGCCUGAAUCGCUGAGAGGUGGUGCAUGGCGUAGACGUGU